rnacentral:rRNA from 1 species
AUUGAACGCUAGCGGGAUGCCUUACACAUGCAAGUCGAACGGAGUGGCGAACGGGUGAGUAAUGUAUCGGAACGUGCCCAGUAGCGGGGGAUAACUACGCGAAAGCGUAGCUAAUACCGCCUACUAUUGGAGCGGCCGAUAGCGGAUUAGCUAGUGGGUGGGGUAACGGCUGACCAAGGCGACGAUCCGUAGCUGGUUUGAGAGGAAGACCAGCCAGCCGUGGACUGCGACACGGCCCAGAGUCCUACGGACGACAGCAGUGGGGAAUUUUGGAGUAUGGGGGAAACCCUGAUCCAGCCAUCCCGCGUGUGCGAUGAAGGCCUUCGGGUUGUAAAGCACUUUUGGCAGGAAAGCGGUACCUGCAGAAUAAGCACCGGCUAACUACGUGCCAGCAGCCGCGGUAAUAC